UACGUAGGGUCCGAGCGUUGUCCGGAAUUAUUGGGCGUAAAGGGCUCGUAGGCGGUUUGUCGCGUCGGGAGUGAAAUCUUACAGCUUAACUGUGAACUUGCUUUCGAUACGGGCAGACUUGAGGCAUUCAGGGGAGAACGGAAUUCCUGGUGUAGCGGUGAAAUGCGCAGAUAUCGGGAGGAACACCAAUGGCGAAGGCAGCUCGCUGGGACGUUACUGACGCUGAGACGCGAAAGCGUGGGGAGCAAACAGG
rnacentral:rRNA from 1 species